rnacentral:rRNA from 1 species
AGAACGAACGCUGGCGGCGUGGAUAAGACAUGCAAGUCGAACGCGACUUAUAGCGAUAGCAAUAUCAUUGUAAGUUGAGUGGCGAAAGGGUGCGUAACACGUGGGAAAUUACCAAGAAGUGGGGGAUAGCUCGGCGAAAGCCGAAUUAAUACCGCAUGUGAUCGAAAGAUCAAAGCCGGGGACCGCAAGGCCUGGCGCUUUUUGAGAUGCCCGCGGCCCAUCAGCUAGUUGGCGAGGUAAAAGCUCACCAAGGCUAUGACGGGUAGCUGGUCUGAGAGGACGACCAGCCACACUGGAACUGAGACACGGUCCAGACACCUACGGGUGGCAGCAGUCGAGAAUUUUUCACAAUGGGGGAAACCCUGAUGGAGCGACGCCGCGUGGAGGAUGAAGGUUUUCGGAUUGUAAACUCCUGUCACUGCAGAACAAGGGUGCGCUCGUUAACAGCAAGCGCAUUUGAUGGUAUGCGGAGAGGGAAGGGACGGCUAAC